UGAAGAUGCAGUGUACCCGCGGCAAGACGGAAAGACCCCGUGAACCUUUACUAUAGCUUGACACUGAACAUUGAGCCUUGAUGUGUAGGAUAGGUGGGAGGCUUUGAAGUGUGGACGCCAGUCUGCAUGGAGCCGGCCUUGAAAUACCACCCUUUAAUGUUUGAUGUUCUAACGUGGACCCGUGAUCCGGGUUGCGGACAGUGUCUGGUGGGUAGUUUGACUGGGGCGGUCUCCUCCUAAAGAGUAACGGAGGAGCACGAAGGUUGGCUAAUCCUGGUCGGACAUCAGGAGGUUAGUGCAAUGGCAUAAGCCAGCUUGACUGCGAGCGUGACGGCGCGAGCAGGUGCGAAAGCAGGUCAUAGUGAUCCGGUGGUUCUGAAUGGAAGGGCCAUCGCUCAACGGAUAAAAGGUACUCCGGGGAUAACAGGCUGAUACCGCCCAAGAGUUCAUAUCGACGGCGGUGUUUGGCACCUCGAUGUCGGCUCAUCACAUCCUGGGGCUGAAGUAGGUCCCAAGGGUAUGGCUGUUCGCCAUUUAAAGUGGUACGCGAGCUGGGUUUAGAACGUCGUGAGACAGUUCGGUCCCUAUCUGCCGUGGGCGCUGGAGAACUGAGGGGGGCUGCUCCUAGUACGAGAGGACCGGAGUGGACGCAUCACUGGUGUUCGGGUUGUCAUGCCAAUGGCACUGCCCGGUAGCUAAAUGCGGAAGAGAUAAGUGCUGAAAGCAUCUAAGCACGAAACUUGCCCCGAGAUGAGUUCUCCCUGACCCUUUAAGGGUCCUGAAGGAACGUUGAAGACGACGACGUUGAUAGGCCGGGUGUGUAAGCGCAGCGAUGCGUUGAGCUAACCGGUACUAAUGAACCGUGAGG
rnacentral:rRNA from 1 species